AUCUGUCCGACUUGGCACAAGCACUGCAUUAGCCUUCCCAUCACACAUAACGUGCAGGCUUCAACGACGAAGACUGCGCUUCCCGAGAGAACGGGACCGGACAAAGGCGUCCCCGUCAGGCAACUGGCGGGACGCC
rnacentral:sRNA from 1 species